AUGCCUCUGGAGGGCCAGCGUCUUUCAUAUUAUUAUCAAAUAGGUAAACAGUAUGACAAAUUUAUGUACAAAUUGUCAGUCUUCAUUUCUAAAGAAUGUUUAGAGAUCCCAUGUAGCUGUGCCGUCGGUGAGCAGACGUUUGGUUAUGACCCCCCGCUCGCUUUCUCUCGUUGUCGCUGUCCAGGUGCCCGUGUCAGUGGCCAUGAUGACUCCCCAGGUGAUCACCCCUCAGCAAAUGCAGCAGAUCCUUCAGCAGCAAGUCCUGUCUCCUCAGCAGCUCCAAGCCCUCCUUCAGCAGCAGCAGGCAGUCAUGCUGCAGCAGCAACAACUACAAGAGUUUUACAAGAAACAGCAAGAGCAGUUACAUCUUCAGCUUUUGCAGCAGCAGCAACAGCAGCAGCAGCAGCAGCAGCAGCAGCAACAGCAGCAGCAGCAGCAGCAGCAGCAACAGCAGCAGCAGCCCCAGCAGCCGCCGCCGCCGCCGCACCCCGGCAAGCAGGCGAAAGAGGUAGGAGCGCUGGGCAUUGGGCGCCGCAGCGCCAGGCGGGGAAGGGGCGCCGCGAGGUCAGGGCCGCCUGACACCUCCCCUAGCACCAGGCUCUCGCCCUCAAAGAUGCCCGAUGGUCCUUUUUCACCCAGCUUACUAACAGUGACAGUAGAACUCUCCUGCUCUCCUUUUUUGUAGCAUGGGACUUGAGAGUUACAAUCCAAUGCUGCUGUCUGUCGCCUAAUGUUCACUAAUGAAUCACAGUGUACAAAGAGCGAGCUCUGUGGUGGACAAAGUACUGAUUAUCUUGUAUUCACCGAGAAUCUAAGUUGGUGAGGGAACCUUAUUUUUCUCAGUGGUGCAGCUCAGAGAACGUGCAUGCAAUUGUCGCCCGUGGUUGGGGGUUGGGGGUUGUUGGGGGGGGUGGGGGAGCGGGGUGGGGAUUCGGGGGAGAAACCGGUGGAACACAGAUUUCAAAGUCACGGGCCCCUGAUUAAUGAACUGCUACUGUAGGUUUGGAGUGGCGAGUAGAAAGUUACAGUUUGAUAUGCUCAUAAAUCAAACUGACAGGCCGGCUUCUCGGGCCUAGCUCGCACUUGUCAGCAAACUGCAUCAAAUAUAAACAUAAUACAAACAAAACAUGUUGAAGUAGUUAAAUUGAUCAGCAGGUAUCAGAGCCGUUGUCUUCAAGCUGCCCAUUAUGCAAACGUACAGGAAACAGUUUUGACCUCCUGAGGCUUUGUUUCUGUUUGGAUUUGUGAAUAGAAUUUCAGACAGCCAUCAACUACAGAAUAGAAAUUGCUCCCUUAUUUCUCCGGAGGCUUUGGGCAAUCCACAUGACUUGCUCCAUUAUGCAGUCUGUUUUCCAGUGAGCGCAUCAGAAGUUUCUCUUUUCCCCAAACUAGAAAGGAAAGGUCUUCCCCAGCAGCUUGUCUUUCUCUGAAGUGUGACUGCCUUCUCAUACCCUCCCGAGUCCAAAGAACCCUGGUUUGUCUUGUAAUGCCUCACAAAGUUGGAAGUUAUACUUUUCCUUAUUAUGAGGGCCCUUUUUCUUGCCUGGAACAUAAUUCGGCCUUUAAUGUAUUCCAACAAGAGAGGAGAGGAAGAGAGAGAGCUAACAGGCCCGUCCUCUGAAGGCUACAUCCCAGUUUACUAAUAGAUCACUGGAGAUCCUAUUCAUGGGCCUCUGCAGGCCAAACUCACUCAGUCGGAAAAAAAAAAAAAAAAAAAAAGAAAGAAAGAAAGAAAAGAAUGUUGUUGGAGUUGACAGUUUCUAUAAAGUGUGAUUUUUUUUUUUAGUGUAGAUAAACUUAUUAUCAUCUGCAAUAAGCCAAGUUUUUUUGUUUCGUUUUAUUUUUUUUAAGUCCAAACUUUUGCAACAUACUGUUUCUAGGCCUCGUUCCGUACUCUUUUCAUGCAAGUUCCUUGGUUCUCUGCUGCUGUGUAGUAUUUGAAAGAAAGGCAACUGAAAAUCUAGAACUUGCUCACAUUCUGCUUUUGAACCUUGACCAUGGGAUGACCAUUCAGAAACUCACCGGGGCAAUGAAAGCAGUGUGCAUUUCUCUGUGU
rnacentral:lncRNA from 1 species